rnacentral:rRNA from 1 species
GACGAGCGCUGGCGGCGUGCUUAACACAUGCAAGUCGAGCGAUGAAGUUUUUUCGGAAAUGGAUUAGCGGCGAACGGGUGAGGAACACGUGAAGAAUCUGCCCUCCACUUUGGGAUAACACAGGGAAACCUGUGCUAAUACCGAAUAUUGAAACAUAAGUGGCAUCACUGAGUUUUGAAAGAAUUUCGGUGGAGGAUGACUUCGCGGCCUAUCAGCUAGUUGGUGAGGUAAUGGCUCACCAAGGCAACGACGGGUAGCCGGCCUGAGAGGGCGACCGGCCACACUGGGACUGAGACACGGCCCAGACUCCUACGGGAGGCAGCAGUGGGGAAUGUUGGGCAAUGGAGGAAACUCUGACCCAGCGACGCCGCGUGCGGGAUGAAGGCCUUCGGGUUGUAAGCCGCUUUCAGUAGGGAAGAAGCGAAAGUGACGGUACCUACAAAAGAAGCACCGGCUAACUAUGUGCCAGCAGCCGCCGUAA